ensembl:lncRNA
AAAUAAAAAUAAAAAGUGGUGUUUUGGUGUUCCAUUGGUGUUGCAUGGAAGAAAAUAAGUCAUACAGAUUUGGAAUGUCAAGAGGGUAAGUAAAUGAUGACUGAAUUUUCAUUUUUGGGAGAACUAUCCCUUUAAUUAUGGGACACUAAAUUCCCAUCAUACAGCGGCCACCAUAUAGCAAAACGUCAUGCUAAUGAUAAUCUAAAACCACCUCAUUUUGCACUGAUGUGAAACUCUGCCAGCGGCGACUGGUUUGUGCCUUUAUAUUGAAAGAGGACGAAACUACCUCCCACUGUGAUUGCUGAUGAUGGAGAUAGAGCGAAAUGAAGGGGAAACUUAAAAGUGAGAUAGUAAAUGUGACAUUACUUAAAUGAGCAAUUAGCUAAAAACCCAAUCGCCAGAGGCAAUCAUCCAAACACACGUUUGAUGCAUAUUCCAUCAUGUGUGAGUGCAUUUGUGUAUAUUUAAGUGUGUGUUUAGCUCUGGUAUCUAAGCAUAUAUCCUUUGCUUUUUGGGUGGAGAAGGGAAAAUGACAUCAGCUUCCUUGGAUGAAAAGAUGAUUUUCAUCUGUCCUCCCUUCAAAUAGUUUUCAUUUAUCUUCCGCAGAUUUCGUAGACAGCUUGUCGGUCUGUAUGUUUGAGAGAAGGCUGCAUGGCUUUCCAUGCACCAGUAACCCUGCAGACUGAGUCGUCAUCCCACCAGCCCUGCUAUCGGCCCAUCACUGUGAUCCUCUGGCUCCACGACUACUGUGGCCACUGACAGUGCGGUUUUUUGUAGAUGAGGUUUCUGCUAUUGAAAUAGGCCUGCAUUGAUUUUCAAAGGCAAAAUACUUGUGAUCCUAGAGUGUUACGGUGUGGUUUAGUUUGCAGAAAUCUUACAUUCGUCAAAUUUUUUAACUAAAGGCUGAAUAAAUUGCAUGCGGAAGGAAAAUCCAGAAAUAAUGAGAAUGAAAAGCCUUUCAUGUACAAUAUGUGAUUCCGUAAACAAAACCGAUGCGAAUUAGCUCAUCUGUCUGAGGAGAUUUACUGGAUUGUUAUGAAACAGGAUACUGAGCAGCAACAGCCUCUGUCAGGGAACAUCAUGAUGUUAGUUGUUUCCAGGACCAAAUGACUUGUUGCCAAAUGCCAAAUUAUGUUAAUACGCUUAACAACAACCACGUGUAAAGUCGCAGAGACUCAGGGGUGAAGAAAUGAUUUGAAAAUGGGUUGAGACACAUUAAAGUAUGGAUAUUCAUUCUACCGAAAGCUUGGUGGGUACAUGGGGUGAAGACAAGCAUUUUAAAAUGUUUGGAAGUUGUAAUUUUUACUAUGUCUUGUAAACUGGUUAUACUACUCAAUAAUAAUACAGCACAAGUUUGGAGAAAAGAAAUACAAUAAAACAAUCUGCACAUUCUUUGAAUAAGGAACAAAUUGGUGUCUUAUUCCUUUUUUUUAACCUAUUAGAAAUAUAACUGUGUCACUGUGCAUGGAAGCCUACAGCAUGAUUUUCCCCAAUUAAUGUCCUUAAAACUGU